rnacentral:rRNA from 1 species
CGCGUGGGGAAUCUACCUCUUUGUGGGGAAUAACGCUCCGAAAGGAGUGGUAAUACCGCAUGAUAUCCAUGGCUGGAAUGUUGUGGAUGAAACCUGGGGACCUUCGGGCCUGGGGCAAGGAGAGGAUCCUGCGUCUGAUUAGCUAGUUGGUGAGGUAACGGCCCACCAAGGCAACGAUCAGUACCCGGCCUGAGAGGGUGAUCGGCCACACUGGAACUGAGACACGGUCCAGACUCCUACGGGAGGCAGCAGUGGGGAAUUUUGCGCAGUGGGCGAAAGCCUGACGCAGCAACGCCGCGUGGGUGAUGAAGGUCUUCGGAUCGUAAAACCCUGUCGUCGGGGACGAAGGUGUGGGGGUUAAUAGCCUUUGCAUUUGACGGUACCCGGAGAGGAAGCCCCGGCUAACUCUGUGCCAGCAGCCGCGGUAAUACAGAGGGGGCAAGCGUUAUUCGGAAUUAUUGGGCGUAAAGGGCGCGUACGCGGCUUUUUAAGUGAGAUGUGUAAUCCCCGAGCUCAACUUGGGAACUGCAUCUCAUACUGGGAGGCUAGAGUACUGGAGAGGGUGGUAGAAUUCCACGUGUAGCGGUGAAAUGCGUAGAGAUGUGGAGGAAUACCAGUGGCGAAGGCGGCCACCUGGACAGUAACUGACGCUGAGGCGCGAAAGUGUGGGUA